UGAGUACGAGCUGCUACGGCAGCGAAGUGGGUGAUGUCAAGCUUCCAAGAAAAGCCCUAUACCCGUUAAGGCAUGACGGCCUGUACCCGAAACCGACACAGGUGGGGUGGUAGAGAAUACCGAGGGGCGCGAGAUAACUCUCUCUAAGGAACUCGGCAAAAUGGCCCCGUAACUUCGGGAGAAGGGGUGCCACCGCAAGGUGGUCGCAGUGAAGAGGCCCAGGCGACUGUUUACCAAAAACACAGGUCUCCGCUAAGUCGCAAGACGAUGUAUGGGGGCUGACGCCUGCCCAGUGCCGGAAGGUUAAGGAAGCUGGUCAGCGCAAGCGAAGCUAGCGACUGAAGCCCCGGUGAACGGCGGCCGUAACUAUAACGGUCCUAAGGUAGCGAAAUUCCUUGUCGGGUAAGUUCCGACCCGCACGAAAGGCGUAACGAUCUGGGCGCUGUCUCGGAGAGAGGCUCGGCGAAAUAGAAUUGUCUGUGAAGAUGCGGACUACGUGCACCCGGACAGAAAGACCCUAUGAAGCUUUACUGUAGCUUGGUAUUGUGCCCGGGCUCUGAAUGCGCAGGAUAGGUGGGAGGCUUUGAUCCAUUGCUUGUGGGUAAUGGUGAGCCACUGGUGAGAUACCACUCUUUCAGAGCUAGGGUUCUAACGGUCACCCGUUAUCCGGGGACCGGACAGUAUCAGGUGGGCAGUUUGACUGGGGCGGUCGCCUCCUAAAAGGUAACGGAGGCGCGCAAAGGUUCCCUCAGGCUGGUUGGAAAUCAGCCGACGAGUGUAAAGGCAGAAGGGAGCUCGACUGUGAGACCUACAAGUCGAACAGGGACGAAAGUCGGCCUUAGUGAUCCGACGGUUCUGAGUGGAAGGGCCGUCGCUCAACGGAUAAAAGUUACUCUAGGAUAACAGGCUGAUCUCCCCCAAGAGUUCACAUCGACGGGGAGGUUUGGCACCUCGAUGUCGGCUCAUCGCAACCUGGGGCUGAAGUCGGUCCCAAGGGUUGGGCUGUUCGCCCAUUAAAGCGGUACGCGAGCUGGGUUCAGAACGUCGUAAGACAGUUCGGUCCAUAUCCGGUGCACGCGCAGGAACAUUGAGAGGAUUUCUCCCUAGUACGAGAGGACCGGGAGGAACGCACCUCUGGUGUACCAGUUAUCGUGCCAACGGUAAACGCUGGGUAGCCAUGUGCGGAGCGGAUAACCGCUGAAAGCAUCUAAGUGGGAAGCCCACCUCAAGAUGAGUGUUCCCAUGGCAUAAGCCAGUAAGGUCACGGGAAGAACACCCGUUGAUAGGCUCUACGUGGAAGCGUGGCAACACGUGAAGCGGAGGAGUACUAAUAGACCGAGGGCUUGACC
rnacentral:rRNA from 1 species